rnacentral:piRNA from 1 species
UGGGGAAUAUUUCCUCCGAGGAAGUUUAGC